AGUGGAAUAGCUCAGCGGUAGAGCAGUGGAAUCAUAAUCCAUGUCGCGUAAGUUCAAAUCUUACUUCCACU
rnacentral:tRNA from 1 species